UACGGAGGGUGCAAGCGUUAUCCGGAUUCACUGGGUUUAAAGGGUGCGUAGGUGGGCAGGUAAGUCAGUGGUGAAAUCUCCGGGCUUAACCCGGAAACUGCCAUUGAUACUAUCAAUCUUGAAUACCGUGGAGGUAAGCGGAAUAUGUCAUGUAGCGGUGAAAUGCUUAGAUAUGACAUAGAACACCAAUUGCGAAGGCAGCUUACUACCCGAAUAUUGACACUGAGGCACGAAAGCGUGGGGAUCAAACAGG
rnacentral:rRNA from 1 species